AAUCCAUAGGUUAAUGAGGCGAACCGGGGGAACUGAAACAUCUAAGUACCCCGAGGAAAAGAAAUCAACCGAGAUUCCCCCAGUAGCGGCGAGCGAACGGGGAGGAGCCCAGAGCCUGAAUCAGCAUGUGUGUUAGUGGAAGCGUCUGGAAAGGCGCGCGAUACAGGGUGACAGCCCCGUACACAAAAGCGCAUGUGCUGUGAGCUCGAUGAGUAGGGCGGGACACGUGGUAUCCUGUCUGAAUAUGGGGGGACCAUCCUCCAAGGCUAAAUACUCCUGACUGACCGAUAGUGAACCAGUACCGUGAGGGAAAGGCGAAAAGAACCCCGGCGAGGGGAGUGAAAAAGAACCUGAAACCGUGUACGUACAAGCAGUGGGAGCACCCUUUGGGGUGUGACUGC
rnacentral:rRNA from 1 species